CUUCCUUAUAAACACAGGUACAUAAUGUUUAUUUGAAAUCCCAAUUUAUUACAAGUUCACCCUUUAAUGGGGCCCUUCCUCCUUAAAGACAAUUUAAAAACCAACCAACAAUGCAGGUGUCACUGCAGCGGGCACACAGGAUCCUCACUAGCACAAGGACAGACUGGACCUAGGAUAAGAAGCAGGAGAAGGCGGUGGUGGCUGGGACUAUGACGCUGUAAGGUCAGUGCUCACUCCAAGCCUACAGGAGAAGGGACGGUGACCCACCCACCAGCCACUGGAGCAAAUUCCCAAGUCCCUGGGCAGGGAAGAGGGGAGACAGGAUCACACCUGAAGUGUCAGGUCAAGAGGCUUUAUUUAUCUCGGUCCAAGGAGCGGCAACUGUGGGCUAAAGAGCUGAGGUGCUCACAUUUUCCAAAUUCAAGGUUGAUAGAAAAGAAAAUUAAACCCUGUCUUAUACGUUUAUCAAAAAUCUGUCAUAAAAGGGAAAGACUACAAACUUCUGCCUACCUGUAACAACUAGGCUAGCCUGGCCAUAGGAAGGGCUCUCACAGAGGUUCCGGCCACUCCUCUCCACCUGCUGAGAUGCACAAGUCACAAGAGCUCCAGUCUGAGGCCAGAGUGGGGACUCAGGAGGCAGGCACAGAGGCGGAAAGAGCCACUAUAGUAGGCAAACGGCCCAGAGCACCACCAGAUCCCACUACCUGCUUGCGAGGACCUCCGACCUAGCUUCUCUGAAAAUGCAGGCUGGCCGAGGAAGGAUGGGGGUGUAAAGCAACACGUCAUCAUAGAAAUUGUACUGUACAUGUGCCAAAGCAAGAUGACAAAUAUUUUACAAGAUGUUCUUUAUACAGUAUCACUGCUAAAACAAGCAACUUUUAAUAACUAGAAAAGUCAAUUUAAAAAACGUCAAACAUUACAGUCUUCCUGCUCUUCUGCUCCCUAAGAGCUUGUCUGGUGUGUGGGUGGGCUGGGCUCCAACACCCUCUGGCCAGAUCCACGAAGUAAAGGUUAUAAGCACGAUUACAAGCAGGACGCCAGUCUCGAGUGAAGUGCCUUAGUUUUUUGUUUUCUGAGGCGGUGAGGUGAGAUGGGAAGAGGGAGGAAGCUGUCACAAAGAAGGGGAGGGGUAUUCAGGAAUGGCUCCAGGGAAUGUCCCUUUACUCUGCCAAGCUCAAAAGACCACAACUGUCCCAUGAUGCUGGUGAAUAUAGGGUUCUGCAUGGCACUCACUGAUACUGUCACCUGAGAGGGAGAAGGUGGAACAGACAGUAUGGGCUUAAAGAAACAAGAUUGUGUAUAAAUAUAGAUUAAAAAGAAAAUCAACACCACCUCCCCAAUGGCCUAGCUCCUCUUGAUCCUGCUAUGUAACACAGUCACCCUUCCCUGGAGGCCAGAGGGGCUUGGCACUGCUGUGGGAGCCAACAUGGGGGAACCUUAGGAAGGAGAAAAGGAAAAAGAAUUGGGUUCCUAGGAAGAACUGGCCCCUGGCCUCCUCCUGGAAACUCCCAGAAAGCAGGGUUAAGGCCCUCUUCUACCCCUAGUAUUUCUUGGCAGAGACUAUCAGACCAGGAUCAGCCUCCCCAAGAGCUCUGCUUGAAUAAGGCCAUAUGGGGAAUUGAGAAAACAGCCCAGGCUUGGAGUGACAGGCAUUUCUGGACUCCGUGACUGCUUCCUUUUGGAGUUCUCCAACUUCCUCUCCCACCGCCCUGGUUGUCUCCUACUGUCCCCCACCUCCCUUACCACAGCCCCCGCCUCUAUUUCUUCUGUCUUCGUCCCCUGGACUGUCCAACAGGCUCUGGAUCACUGUCCACUUCAUCAUCAGCAAGCCGAUCAGGAAACUUCUUGCGUUUCCUGCGGACAUACGGGUGACCAGGAAGGUGUUUAUGCAGCAGAGCCACCAGACACUGUUCUGUCUUCACCGUGCAGUUCAGAACAUGGCUGCCGCGGCAGUUGUAAAGCUCAGCAUUGGUAAACACUUGCUUCAUGUCGGUGAGAAACUCCUGCACUGAGCGGUAGUUUCCACAGGAACAUUUGUUCUGCAUUGUCUGAAAGUCCAUAGGUUGGGUGAUCACAUCAUAGUAGUCCUCGGCCUCGUCUCUGGUCACGGGCUCCCUGUAAAGAAGAACCAAAUGGAGAUGUCUGCAUGGUCUUGAAUGCAACUCAGAGAAACCCUGGUGUCUAGUAACCGGCGCCUGAAGGUCCACAGCUGUAGGUAGUAGCCACCUGGGGGACAGAGCUGUGUCCACCUUGUCAGAACCGUCCCUCCCUCCCCCACGUGAACAAGUUAAUCCCUCUGCCACCAAGGUUCGUCCUGGAAGGAGGGGACCCAGGGCAGUGCCAGCACCUGCCC
rnacentral:lncRNA from 1 species